UGCCUCAUGGUGUAACGGUAGCACAAUUGACUCUGGAUCAGUUUGUCUAGGUUCAAAUCCUAGUGAGGCAACCA
rnacentral:tRNA from 1 species